rnacentral:rRNA from 2 species
GUCAAAACGACUCUCGGCAACGGAUAUCUCGGCUCUCGCAUCGAUGAANAACGUAGCGAAAUGCGAUACUUGGUGUGAAUUGCAGAAUCCCGUGAACCAUCGAGUUUUUGAACGCAAGUUGCGCCCGAAGCCAUCAGGCCGAGGGCACGCCUGCCUGGGCGUC